UGCGAUCAUACCAGCACUAAAGCACCGGAUCCCAUCAGAACUCCGAAGUUAAGCGUGCUUGGGCGAGAGUAGUACUAGGAUGGGUGACCCGUGCUUGGGCGAGAGUAGUAC
rnacentral:rRNA from 20 species